ensembl:lncRNA
CCUUUGGCAAAAUGGGUCAAAAGAAGGACUUGACAGGCUCAGGAAAGUCAAAAAUAGUGAGAUAUCUUGCAGAGGCAUGCAGCAGUCUUAAAAUUGCAAAGCUUCUGAAGCGUGAUCAUCGAACAAUCAAGCGUUUCAUUCAAAAUAGUCAACAGGGUCGCAAGAAGCGUGUGGAAAAACCAAGGCGCAAAAUAACUGCCCAUGAACUGAGAAAAGUCAAGCGUGCAGCUGCCAAGAUGCCACUUUCCACCAGUUUGGCCAUAUUUCAGAGCUGCAACAUCACUGGAGUGCCCAAAAGCACAAGGUGUGCAAUACUCAGAGACAUGGCCAAGGUAAGAAAGGCUGAAAGACGACCACCACUGAACAAGACACACAAGCUGAAACACGACCACCACUGAACAAGACACACAAGCUGAAACGUCAAGACUGGGCCAAGAAAUAUCUCAAGACUGAUU